AGCAGCCGCGGUAAUUCCAGCUCCAAUAGCGUAUAUUAAAGUUGUUGCAGUUAAAAAGCUCGUAGUUGAACUUCAGGCCUGGCUGGACGGUCCGCCCUCUGGGUGAGCACUGUCUGUGGUCGGGUCCUACCUUCUGGCGAAGCGGCAUGGGCCUUAACCGGCCGUGGCGGGGGAACCAGGACUUUUACUGUGAAAAAAUUAGAGUGUUCAAAGCAGGCACGCGCUUGAAUACAUUAGCAUGGAAUAAUGGAAUAGGACAAUGGUUCUAUUUGUUGGUUUCUAGGACCGUUGUAAUGAUUAAUAGGGAUAGUUGGGGGCAUUAGUAUUCAAUUGUCAGAGGUGAAAUUCUUGGAUUUAUUGAAGACUAACUACUGCGAAAGCAUUUGCCAAGGAUGUUUUCAUUAAUCAAGAACGAAAGUUAGGGAUCGAAGACGAUCAGAUACCGUCGUAGUCUUAACCAUAAACUAUAGCCGUACUAGGAAUCGGGACGAGUGUUAGAAC
rnacentral:rRNA from 1 species